AAUGGACGCAAGUCUGAACCAGCCAUGCCGCGUGAAGGAUGAAGGCCUUCUGGGUUGUAAACUUCUUUUACCUGGGAAGAAACCUCUUUUUUCUAAGAGAGUUGACGGUACCAGAGGAAUAAGCACCGGCUAACUCCGUGCCAGCAGCCGCGGUAAUACGGAGGGUGCAAGCGUUAUCCGGAUUUACUGGGUUUAAAGNGUGUGUAGGCGGGCUUUUAAGUCGGUGGUGAAAUCUCCGGGCUCAACCUGGAAACUGCCAUUGAUACUAUUAGUCUUGAAUUUCGUUGAGGUAGGCGGAAUAAGUCAUGUAGCGGUGAAAUGCAUAGAUAUGACUUAGAACACCAAUUGCGAAGGCAGCUUGCUAAACAAAUAUUGACGCUGAGGCACGAAAGCGUGGGGAUCAAA
rnacentral:rRNA from 1 species